UUAGUAAAUUUCUGGCCUCCGUAUAGUU
rnacentral:sRNA from 1 species